AUUGAACGCUGGCGGCAGGCCUAACACAUGCAAGUCGAGCGGAUGAGGGAAGCUUGCUUCCUGAUUUAGCGGCGGACGGGUGAGUAAUGCCUAGGAAUCUGCCUAUUAGUGGGGGAUAACGUUCCGAAAGGAACGCUAAUACCGCACACGUCCUACGGGAGAAAGUGGGGGAUCUUCGGACCUCACGCUAAUAGAUGAGCCUAGGUCGGAUUAGCUAGUUGGUGAGGUAACGGCUCACCAAGGCGACGAUCCGUAGCUGGUCUGAGAGGAUGAUCAGCCACACGGGAACUGAGACACGGUCCAGACUCCUACGGGAGGCGGCAGUGGGGAAUAUUGGAAAAUGGGCGAAAGCCUGAUCCAGCCAUGCGGCGUGUGUGAAGAAGGUCUUCGGAUUGUAAAGCACUUUAAGUUGGGAGGAAGGGCUGUAAGCUAAUAUCUUGCAGCUUUGACGUUACCAACAGAAUAAGCACCGGCUAACUCUGUGCCAGCAGCCGCCGUAACAC
rnacentral:rRNA from 1 species